CGUCCGUUGGUCCGACCGACCUCAGCGUUCUCCUCCUCUCGGCAGCUGCAGCUCUCCCAGUUGGAGACUCCGCCGCUGGCACCGCUUUAGCGUCCGGGGGCCGCUUAUAUCUUUUCUCUGAGACACGCCUCCUGGGCUCUCCGGCCCAGGCCAGCGCGGUCAGAGCCAGGGGAACUCGGAGGGGGAGGAAGAAGAGGAGGGGAAAAGGAGGGGGUGGAACCCGGCUGGGACCUGGCAGGAGGUGGCCACGCGCUGAGCACGCUCCGACUGUGUGAGCUAGGGGGCCCGGCGCGGGUGCCAUCGCAGCGGGGCGCGUGGGAAGGCCAGUGUGCACGCGAAGGUCCCACUCCAGGCGAGCGCAGGGGAGGACCCGGAGCCCAGGGAGGUGUCCGCGGACAUCUCUGACAUGGCGGCAACCUUCUUACUGGUGUCAGCGGCUGGACCCUGGGUACCUGGCUGAAGACUUUGGACUUUAACCUGGAGAUGAUGGAGAGUAUGCAGGAUAAAGUCCAUACCAAAUCCAACGCCUAGCAAAUGGAGAACAAGCCAAAACUAACAAGAUAAAAUGUAGCAGGAAAAAGUGCAAAGAGCUGAAGUGUGGAAUAAGUGGGAGAGGUCUGCCAUGCCCUAUCUGACCUUGCUGCCAUGAUCUUUAAGGCUGUGUGUCCUGGUUGGUGCAGCUACAAGAUGGCAGAAAUGCCUAAGUGAUGGUAUGGAACAGAGGAUCCCUCUUCUCACCAUUGUCUUGCAUGUUUCCUUGUGUGAACCACAAAUAAACUUUUGUUAUGUUAAGCUGCUGAGA
rnacentral:lncRNA from 1 species